rnacentral:rRNA from 1 species
GGGGAAUAUUGGGCAAUGGGGGAAACCCUGACCCAGCAACGCCGCGUGAAGGAAGAAGGUUUUCGGAUUGUAAACUUCUGUCCUUGGUGAAGAGAAGAAGACGGUAGCCAAGGAGGAAGCCCCGGCUAACUACGUGCCAGCAGCCGCGGUAAUACGUAGGGGGCAAGCGUUGUCCGGAAUGAUUGGGCGUAAAGGGCGCGUAGGCGGCUUUAUAAGUCUGGAGUGAAAGUCCUCUUUUCAAGGGAGGAAUUGCUUUGGAAACUAUAGAGCUUGAGUGCAGGAGAGGUUAUCGGAAUUCCCGGUGUAGCGGUGAAAUGCGUAGAUAUCGGGAGGAACAUCGGUGGCGAAGGCGGGUAACUGGACUGCAACUGACGCUGAGGCGCGAAAGUGUGGGGAGCAAAC